rnacentral:lncRNA from 1 species
CUCAAUUAAGGCUUAGUCUCUUCAUUUAGGAAGAAAAGUGCCUGAUUUCCUGUUUUUCUUUUUUCAGCUAUGGGGUUUGAAUUGCUACCCACCCCCCCAGGUGUCAGAUAUUUUAAAGCCAGAGAGGAAUCUGGCCACAUUGUGGUGAAGAUUCUUCACUCUUGUGGCCGUGUUGGUGGGAAGAGUUCCAUCCACUUGAGAACAAUUAGGAAUUUACUCCAGUUGUUUCAAGCAAAAGCCUAUUCCCUUAAUCUCUGUCUACUCACUACGAUAGAAGGGCUGGCUUUAAUAAUGGAGAAAAAAAUCAGAGCUGAGGACAAAAGGGAAAAUAUUCAUUUAUAUAUCAUACAGUCAAAGGAGUGGAAACUUUGAGAGAUGUCAGUGUAAGACCGCUGUCCUUACCAAAUGCUCCGAGGAGCUGACUAUAGUGAAGCACACCCAGGGAUCCCAGC